rnacentral:rRNA from 1 species
UACGUAGGUGACAAGCGUUGUCCGGAUUCACUGGGCGUAAAGGGUGCGCAGGUGGUCGGGUAAGUCUGAUGUGAAAUCCCGCAGCUUAACUGCGGAAUGGCAUUGGAUACUAUUCGGCUAGAGGGUUGGAGGGGGGACUGGAAUUCUCGGUGUAGCAGUGAAAUGCGUAGAUAUCGAGAGGAACACCAGUGGCGAAGGCGAGUCCCUGGACAACUCCUGACGCUGAGGCACGAAAGCUAGGGGAGCAAACAGG